rnacentral:ncRNA from 2 species
UCAUAUACCUAAGUUGCAAGUUAAAAAUCUCAAAGAAAGUUUGGGUAAGUAGGGUGAAAAUCCUUCACUGUGCCGCAACUGUAGAGUCCGCCUUCGCUAAAAAAGCUUCGGCGAGAUAAGUCAGAAAACCAACUUUCUAAUUACAAAUUUC